UAUCAUCUCUUUCCUUUGUCCUCAUCUUCUCCUUUCCUCUUCAUACAUUCACCGUUACUGAGCCUAUUUGUCAUCAAUCAAUGGAGUUCUUCAAUAUCGUCUUAAUGAAUACGUUUCACCUCCUUCUUUUUCUCCUUUUUCAUAUAUUUUUUCCCCUUUCAUAUAUUUUUCCCCCUUUCAUGUCUACAAACCAAAACCCUAUAUUCUGAUCUCUCUUAGAAUCGAUCUUUGAAUUUGAUCAAACAUUUAAGAAUGUUCUCGAAGAACAUCUUUACAACUCUGUUCAGUGUUAUCUCUCAACCUCAUUGACUGAUUAACUGUUUUCUGAACAUGUUUCAGGUUUCCGUUCGACGUCAGAAGUUUACCGGAGAGAUUUUUAAUGGCGAGACCUUUAGUGACAAGAUUCGCAAAUCACUAGGGAUAGAAUUGUUGGUGAAACAAAAAAAAAAACUUGAAGCUUUAACAAGUCUCUGAUUUCAUUAGGGAUAAAAACAUGUGAGUUCACAGAUGUUAAGAGUGAAAUAAUAGACUUUAGCUUUUGGAAUGAAUUUUCAGUAACAGAGCUUCGUGGUGUCUACGACGGUCAAGAUGUCGCCGUGAAGCUGCUUGAUUGGGGUGAGGAAGGGCAUACAUCAGAAGCUGAGAUUGUGUCUUUGAAGGCAGAUUUUGCUCAGGAAGUUGCUGUUUGGCAUAAACUGGACCAUCCAAAUGUUACUAAGUUCAUAGGAGCUACAAUGGGUGCAUCAUGUUUACAACUACAAACAGAGAGUGGUCCACUAGCAAUGCCAAACAGUAUAUGUUGUGUUGUUGUUGAAUAACUUCAAGGUGGUGCUUUGAAAUCCUUCUUGAUCAAGAACAGAAGAAGAAAGUUAGCAUUUAGUGUUGUUGUUCAGCUCGCUCUUGACCUCGCUAGGGGGUUGAGUCACCUUCAUUCAUAGAAGAUUGUUCACCGUGGCGUAAAGUAUUUGUUGAGAAUCUCUGUCUUCUCUGUUUUAAUUUAGAGUUAUGAUAGCUCUAUACGCUCAUAAAUGGCUCGAGUUCAAGCUUCUAGGGACUGCUACAGUUUGCCACACCACCAACUUGUUAAGGAAUUGUUUCUUACUAAAUGGAUUGGGAUGCAGUUGUUGCUGAUCACUAUUCUUGGGUUUCUCAUCAAGCUACUAACAUGUCUGAUCAACUCAUCAGUUUCCACUCCAUGACCAAAAAUCAGCAGGCAUCAUGGGUUUGUAUGCCAUGACUCAGACCGAGACUGUCAGACGAAAAAAACUUAUAUAAAAACCUUCUGGCUCUUGCUUUUUGUUGUUUGUAGGAGUCAAAGCACCUCCAAGAUUAAGAGAUAUAAGGAUCUUUAUUAAACGGACUUUUUAUUAUCACUAGAGCAGCAAGAAGAGAAAUAAUAAGAGCUUUCAAGUGCAGAUAUGGAGAUGGAUGUAAGUCUUGCAUCACAAUAGAGAUUACAAACUGGGAUGAGGAUAGAAAAGGAGUGGGAAAAGACAGAGAGAGUUAUGAAGAGAAAUAAAGAUAUGGGAAUUAAAGAUGAGGAUAAUGAUGAUACUAACAACAAUAGCUACAAAGACAGAGGUACAUUCCCCUUUGCUUGCUUCAUAUGCAAAGAGCCUUUCAUGGCUCUAUUUGUCACCAAAUGCAAGUAUUACUUCUGUGAGGAUUGUAUUUUUUCGGCUUCAUGGUUUAGCUAAGAGAGUCUUCUGCUCAAACACUAAAAGUUAAAUCAUAUUUCAUUAUAAAUUGAAACAGACAUAUUAUAAAUA